GUGAGUUCAGGAGGAAGGAAUGUGUGUAAGCAAUACACAGGGUGUAUAUAUCAAAGUACUUGGGAUUUGGUGUUUGGAGGCCUAAACUGAGAGGGGCAAAGGAAGAGUGGAUCCUCAUACUCCCUCACUCACGUUUCCAUCUACACAACCAAUGUCAUCUCCCUCUUAAUUUACUCUCUUCACCAUAAAUCGCUCUGCCGCGUCGAAGGCACCAGAGCAACCCAUAAUGAUCAUCAACCACCACCAUUCUACUCGUUCUUUUCCACUAUAUAUGUUUCUUACAUUCACUCCCUCUAAAAAUCAUUGCAAUCUCUCAAAUCCCAAUAUUAGUUCAAGAACCCUAGAAACCAAUAAAUGGUGAUGGAGGGGAAUCAAGCCAUGCCACCUUGGGGCUUUGAUUCCCCUCAAUGAAGGUUACAUACUGGUAUCAAGAUUAAAGCAAGAGAAAGUGAAAUGGAAUCUACCUUCAAGGUUGAGACUUUCCCUGGGAACUUGUUAAGGAUGAAGAUUAUAAAGCUGAAGAAUAUAGAAGACCAAUCUACUCCUUUUUGCCACAAUUCCUUCUUCUUCUUCUCCUUGAGUCUAGUCUGUAGGAAUUGGUAUCUUCGUGUUGUUGUUGUUGAUGAUAUGACAAGAGUGUAGAGAGUAUAGUGUAUAGGGAGUAGGCUUAGGUUAUGCUCUGAUUACGACAAGCUUCAAUGUGAUUUUUACAUAAUGGAGGAUGAGAGAGCUCUAAAGUGAGGGAGGAUAGAGGUUGAAGAUGAGUUGCAGAGAGAGUGAUAAAUUGUUGAGGGUGAAAUUGCAGAGUGAAAAAGGUCCCUUUAGAUUGAAGAUGAUUGAAGCUUAUAUAGAUGAAUAGAGUGUAACUGAAUUCGGGAAAUUAGGGUAGAGUUUGUUGAAGGUUAUGGCAGGGGUUAAAGCUAGUGGAAUUCAUGAGGAAGUUAGUUGGAGGAAGUUAACAGUGUUAACUGAAAGUUAUUUCAGUUAGUUUGGAUCAGUUUGUUAGUGAAAUGAGACUUGAUAGUUAAGUUAGUUGGUUAGUUGUGAUGUUAGGACUGUUGUGCACUUGAGUUAUGGAAAUGGAGAAUUAAUGUAGUUAGCUUGAUGAAUUCGUGGAGCCAAUUAGGAUAGUGAGAAGAAAUUAGUCAUGUUAGUUUGAAAUGUUAUUGUUAUUUUGGCAUUAGUUAGUAUGAACUACUAUGAAGGUUAGCCAAUAGAAGUUAGUAGGAAUUUGAUAUUUUAACUAUUAGUGGUUAUAGUCGUUAUCUUAAAUGCUUAAAAGUAGAAGUGAACAGUUAGCAGCAUGUUAGUAAGUUAAAAUUUAGUGAUUUGGAACUAUUGACUAGACUAUGAUAGAACUGUUAUAGAUUGUUGGGUUAAUUAGUUAGUAAGCUUGUGUUGAAUUGAACAGUUGUUGAAGGUUCUGCUGCAUAUUAGUGAGAGUUAGCUUUAAAUUGGAACUGUCAUAAAAUAUUAGUGUGGUGGUGAAUAUGGUAUUUGAAUGGAUAUUAGUUGGCUAAGUUGAUCAAUUAAGGUAUGAACUGCUAUGGAAUUGUGUUGAUGUGUUUGUGAACCUAGUUUAGAAACAUAUAGUUGCUAUGUAAGUGAACCAAUUAAUGGUUAGUAGGUCAAUUUAAACUGAUGUGAUUUUGAACUGUUACAGAGGAAUGGUGGUUAUGCAGGUACAUUGGGGUGGCUUGGUUGGCUAUUUAGUUAGUCUGUUAGGAUUGAUACUUGGUCAUGUUGCAAUGCUAUGCUAAUUGGAUUAAGGUUCAUGAUAAGAUGAGACUUUGUUUGGUUUGUUUGGCCCUGAAAAGGUAUAACAUAUCAUGGCUUACCAAGAUGCAAGUUUUUGAAAACAUCAAGAAUAAUGGAGAACUUUGAAGACAUUGGAGGCUUGGAGUAUCAAAAAAUGGGAUGUCUUGUGAAUGAAGAAAAAAUAGAAUUAGGUAGUUUGACUUUGGUCAACUGUUUGACCAAAAAGUCAAUUGUUGACCAAAAGGAAACUCUAGGUCAAACUAAUUUUUUUAUGGGAUUUGGUUUUUACUCUCUUUGUAAUGAAUUUGGAUGUUUGUAAUGAAAGUUGCUCCUUUGAAUGAUA